UUUACUUUUUUGUGUGAAAGUGGCGGACGAGCGAGUAACACGUAAGUAGUUGCCCCACACUCAGGGAUAACUGGUCGAAAGGUCAGCUAAUACCGGAUAGUCUCGAAAGAGUAAAGCUUUUGCGGUGUGGGAGACGCUUGCGGCCUAUCAGCUUGUUGGUAAGGUAAUAGCUUACCAAGGCUAUGACGGGUACCUGGUGUGAGAGCAUGACCAGGCGCGAUGGGACUGAGACACGGCCCAUACUCCUACGGGAGGCAGCAGUAGAGAAUCUUCCGCAAUGGACGAAAGUCUGACGGAGCGACACCGCGUGGUGGAUGACGGCCUUCGGGUUGUAAACACCUUUUAUGAGGGAAGAAGAUCUGACGGUACCUCAUGAAUAAGCACCGGCUAAUUACGUGCCAGCAGCCGCGGUAAUACGUAAGGUGCAAGCGUUAUCCGGAAUAAUUGGGCGUAAAGCGUCCGUAGGCGGUUUAUCAAGUGGAUUAUGAAAUACCGGUGCUCAACAUCGGUGCUGUAGUCCAAACUGGUAAACUAGAGUAAUGGAGAGGUGCGUGGAAUUGUGCAAGUAGGGGUAAAAUCCGUAGAUAUGCACAGGAACACCAAAAGCGAAGGCAGCGCACUGGCCAUUUACUGACGCUCAGGGACGAAAGCGUGGGGAGCGAAAGGGAUUANAUACCCCUGUAGUCCACGCCGUAAACGAUGCGUGCUCGGUGUGGGGACCCUCGACCUGGUCUCGUGCCUAA
rnacentral:rRNA from 1 species